rnacentral:tRNA from 1 species
GUCCCGUUCGUCUAGAGGGUGCCUAGGACACCGCCCUUUCACGGCGGUAACACGAGUUCAAAUCUCGUACGGGAUACCA